UGCAUAUCAAAAAGCGGAGGAAAAGAAACCAACAGGGAUUGCCUCAGUAGCGGCGAGUGAAGCGGCAAGAGCUCAGAUUUGAAAUCGUGCUUUGCGGCACGAGUUGUAGAUUGCAGGUUGGAGUCUGUGUGGAAGGCGGUGUCCAAGUCCCUUGGAACAGGGCGCCCAGGAGGGUGAGAGCCCCGUGGGAUGCCGGCGGAAGCAGUGAGGCCCUUCUGACGAGUCGAGUUGUUUGGGAAUGCAGCUCCAAGCGGGUGGUAAAUUCCAUCUAAGGCUAAAUACUGGCGAGAGACCGAUAGCGAACAAGUACUGUGAAGGAAAGAUGAAAAGCACUUUGAAAAGAGAGUGAAACAGCACGUGAAAUUGUUGAAAGGGAAGGGUAUUGCGCCCGACAUGGGGAUUGCGCACCGCUGCCUCUCGUGGGCGGCGCUCUGGGCUUUCCCUGGGCCAGCAUCGGUUCUUGCUGCAGGAGAAGGGGUUCUGGAACGUGGCUCUUCGGAGUGUUAUAGCCAGGGCCAGAUGCUGCGUGCGGGGACCGAGGACUGCGGCCGUGUAGUCACGAUGCCUGCCAUUACG
rnacentral:rRNA from 1 species